rnacentral:misc_RNA from 1 species
CAAUUAUUAUUUAGGAAAAAUCACUGUUUAGUAUUUAUAUUUUAAUAAAACUAAUUAUUUAAUUAUCUGUUUUAAAAAAUAAAAUAUUUAGUGUUGUUAUUUUAAAAUAAUCUUUUUUUAAUCAAGCUAGUUAAAGAAGAUGGCAUAUUUGUGAUUUAAAACUAUGGGACUAAAUAGUUGUAUUGUUUAAAUUGUAGAGAUUAAAUAGUUGAGUCAGAG